rnacentral:rRNA from 1 species
AGUGAACGCUGGCGGUAGGCCUAACACAUGCAAGUCGAACGGCAGCACAGUAAGAGCUUGCUCUUACGGGUGGCGAGUGGCGGACGGGUGAAGAAUACAUCGGAAUCUACUUUUUCGUGGGGGAUAACGUAGGGAAACUUACGCUAAUACCGCAUACGUCCUACGGGUGAAAGCAGAGGAUCUUCGGACCUUGCGCGACUGAAUGAGCCGAUGUCGGAUUAGCUAGUUGGCGGGGUAAAGGCCCACCAAGGCGACGAUCCGUAGCUGGUCUGAGAGGAUGAUCAGCCACACUGGAACUGAGACACGGUCCAGACUCCUACGGGAGGCAGCAGUGGGGAAUAUUGGACAAUGGGCGCAAGCCUGAUCCAGCCAUACCGCGUGGGUGAAGAAGGCCUUCGGGUUGUAAAGCCCUUUUGUUGGGAAAGAAAAGCAGCAGGUGAAUACCCCGCUGUUCUGACGGUACCCAAAGAAUAAGCACCGGCUAACUUCGUG